UACGGGGGGGGCAAGCGUUGUUCGGAAUUACUGGGCGUAAAGGGCUUGUAGGUGGCCAACUAAGUCAGACGUGAAAUCCCUCGGCUUAACCGGGGAACUGCGUCUGAUACUGGAUGGCUAGAGAUUGGGAGAGGGAUGCGGAAUUCCAGGUGUAGCGGUGAAAUGCGUAGAUAUCUGGAGGAACACCGGUGGCGAAGGCGGCAUCCUGGACCAACACUGACACUGAAAAGCGAAAGCCAGGGGAGCAAACGGG
rnacentral:rRNA from 1 species